AGUGAACGCUGGCGGUAGGCCUAACACAUGCAAGUCGAACGGCAGCACAGUAAGAGCUUGCUCUUACGGGUGGCGAGUGGCGGACGGGUGAGGAAUACAUCGGAAUCUACUUUUUCGUGGGGGAUAACGUAGGGAAACUUACGCUAAUACCGCAUACGACCUACGGGUGAAAGCAGGGGAUCUUCGGACCUUGCGCGAUUGAAUGAGCCGAUGUCGGAUUAGCUAGUUGGCGGGGUAAAGGCCCACCAAGGCGACGAUCCGUAGCUGGUCUGAGAGGAUGAUCAGCCACACUGGAACUGAGACACGGUCCAGACUCCUACGGGAGGCAGCAGUGGGGAAUAUUGGACAAUGGGCGUAAGCCUGAUCCAGCCAUACCGCGUGGGUGAAGAAGGCCUUCGGGUUGUAAAGCCCUUUUGUUGGGAAGGAAAAGCAGCAGGUUAAUACCCCGCUGUUCUGACGGUACCCAAAGAAUAAGCACCGGCUAACUUCGUG
rnacentral:rRNA from 1 species